rnacentral:rRNA from 1 species
UGGGGAAUCUUGGACAAUGGGCGCAAGCCUGAUCCAGCCAUGCCGCGUGAGUGAUGAAGGCCUUAGGGUUGUAAAGCUCUUUUGCCGGGGACGAUAAUGACGGUACCCGGAGAAUAAGUCCCGGCUAACUUCGUGCCAGCAGCCGCGGUAAUACGAAGGGGACUAGCGUUGUUCGGAAUCACUGGGCGUAAAGCGCACGUAGGCGGAUUUGUAAGUCAGGGGUGAAAUCCCGGGGCUCAACCUCGGAACUGCCUUUGAUACUGCGGAUCUCGAGUCCGAUAGAGGUGAGUGGAAUUCCUAGUGUAGAGGUGAAAUUCGUAGAUAUUAGGAAGAACACCGGUGGCGAAGGCGGCUCACUGGAUCGGUACUGACGCUGAGGUGCGAAA